GUUAGCAACGGGAAUGAAAUGCCUAGUUGAUCCCUUCUACUCCAAACAGUGGAAAAAAAGUUUGGUAGAAGGGAUAUUUAUCUAGUAUACCAAUAUAUUUGUAUCAAAAGCUCUUUAUGUUAACAAAUCAAUAAUCCUUAAUAGAAGAUAAAUUUUAGUUUUUUGUGUUUCAAAAAUAGGCUUUUAUGGAGUUCUGGCGAAGCCUGUGCCAGCCGCCGCGGUUAUACAGGCAGAAUGUAAUAUUUUAUAUUAUUUAAUAUUUAACUCAAGUAAAUUUUUAGGACUAAAUAGGUGAAAUUAUUAGUUUAUUGGAAUUGAUAGGUGUUAGGAAAUUUAUUUUCAAAAAUAGGAUUAGAUACCCUAAUAUUGUAAAAUGGAAUGUUGACAGUAAUUUUGGAUUUAUGAAAUCUAAAGAUUGUGGCGGUGUUUUAAGCUUUUUAGAGGAAUUUAUUCUUUGAUUGAUACGACUCAAGCAUCUUACUUGAUUUUGUUAGGUCAGUUUGUAUAUCGCUAUCAUUUUUUAUGAUGUUGUUAGGAAAUUAUAAAAAUAGUUUUUUAUUAAAAUGUUAGGUCAAAAUGCAGCGGAAGAUUGAGUUUGAAAUAAAUUACGUAUAUUUUUAUAGGGUUAUAGGAAGAAGGAAGAUGGAUUUAAAAGUAUGUUGAGAUUAUAAUGCUUGAUUGAAAGGAGCGCUGAAACAUGUACAUAUCGCCCGUCGCUCUCAUUGAAGGGAUAAGUCGUAACAAAGUAAAAGUACCGGAAGGUGUUUUU
rnacentral:rRNA from 1 species